rnacentral:rRNA from 1 species
GACAGAGGGGGGCAAGCGUUGCUCGGAAUCACUGGGCGUAAAGGGCGCGUAGGCGGGAUGGCAAGUCGGUCGUGAAAUCCUUCGGCUCAACCGAAGAACGUCGGCCGAUACUGCCGUUCUUGAGGGAUGCAGAGGAGAUUGGAAUUCCCGGUGUAGCGGUGAAAUGUGUAGAGAUCGGGAGGAACACCGGUGGCGAAGGCGGGGUCUCUGGGCAUCUCCUGACGCUGAGGCGCGAAAGCGUGGGGAGCAAACGGG